rnacentral:rRNA from 1 species
UGGGGAAUUUUGGACAAUGGGGGAAACCCUGAUCCAGCCACCCCGCGUGUGCGAUGAAGGCCUUCGGGUUGUAAAGCACUUUUGGCAGGAAAGAAACGUCGCGGGUUAAUACCCCGCGAAACUGACGGUACCUGCAGAAUAAGCACCGGCUAACUACGUGCCAGCAGCCGCGGUAAUACGUAGGGUGCAAGCGUUAAUCGGAAUUACUGGGCGUAAAGCGUGCGCAGGCGGUUCGGAAAGAAAGAUGUGAAAUCCCAGAGCUUAACUUUGGAACUGCAUUUUUAACUACCGGGCUAGAGUGUGUCAGAGGGAGGUGGAAUUCCGCGUGUAGCAGUGAAAUGCGUAGAUAUGCGGAGGAACACCGAUGGCGAAGGCAGCCUCCUGGGAUAACACUGACGCUCAUGCACGAAAGCGUGGGGAGCAAACAGGAUUAGAUACCCUGGUAGUCCACGCCCUAAACGAUGUCAACUAGCUGUUGGGGCCUUCGGGCCUUGGUAGCGCAGCUAACGCGUGAAGUUGACCGCCUGGGGGAGUACGGUCGCAAGAUUAAAACUCAAAGGAAUU